AGCAUCCGUAGCCGGUUACAUAAGUUUUCGGUUAAAUCUAUGCGCUCAACGUAUAGGCCGCCGAAAAUACUGUGCAGCUAGGGAGUGGGAGAGGUACACGGUACUCAGUAGGAAGGGGUAAAAUCCUUUGAUCUAUUGAUGACCACCUGUGGCGAAGGCGGUGUACCAGAACACGUUCGACGGUGAGGGAUGAAAGCUGGGGGAGCAAACCGGAUUAGAUACCCGGGUAGUCCCAGCUGUAAACGAUGCAGACUCGGUGAUGCAUUGGCUUGUGGCCAAUGCAGUGCCGCAGGGAAGCCGUUAAGUCUGCCGCCUGGGAAGUACGUACGCAAGUAUGAAACUUAAAGGAAUUGGCGGGGGAGCACAAGCCGAA
rnacentral:rRNA from 2 species